rnacentral:tRNA from 9 species
UGCUUGGUCCUCCAAAUUGGCUUCAAAACCGGUGGGGCGUGC